UACGAAGGGGGCUAGCGUUGUUCGGAAUUACUGGGCGUAAAGCGUAUGUAGGCGGAUCGUUAAGUCGGGGGGUGAAAUCCCGAGGCUCAACCUCGGAACUGCCUUCGAUACUGGCGAUCUUCGAGUCCGGGAGAGGUGAGUGGAACUCCGAGUGUAGAGGUGAAAUUCGUAGAUAUUCGGAAGAACACCAGUGGCGAAGGCGGCUCACUGGCCCGGUACUGACGCUGAGGCACGAAGGUCAGGGGGAGCAAACGGG
rnacentral:rRNA from 1 species